rnacentral:lncRNA from 1 species
AAAUAAACUAAGUUGGGAAACAGGUUUGAGAACUUCCCCACAGGUAAAAAUUAAAGUGAGCAUUUUUAAUUGACAUGGACAUUAGAUGGACAAUAGAAACCUGACAAUAAUUGGUUAUUUAAACUGUGUACCUGAGUGGGCCAUUUCAAGGUAAACUCAACUGUUUGUUAAUUUUAUCACCCUCUGCAGAGACGAAAAAAAAGUGUACGGCAA